rnacentral:rRNA from 1 species
AGUGAACGCUGGCGGCGUGCUUAAUACAUGCAAGUCGAACGAUGAAGUCCUAGCUUGCUAGGAUGGAUUAGUGGCGCACGGGUGAGUAAUAUAUAGUUAAUCUGCCUUGCACUGAGGAACAACAGUUGCAAACGAUUGCUAAUACCUCAUACUCCAACUUUACAUAAGUUAAGUUGGGAAAGUCUUUUCGGUGCAAGAUGAGACUAUAUCGUAUCAGCUAGUUGGUAAGGUAAUGGCUUACCAAGGCUAUGACGCGUAACUGGUCUGAGAGGAUGAUCAGUCACAUUGGAACUGAGACACGGUCCAAACUCCUACGGGAGGCAGCAGUAAGGAAUAUUGUGCAAUGGGGGAAACCCUGACGCAGCAACGCCGCGUGGAGGAUGACACUUUUCGGAGCGUAAACUCCUUUUGUUAGGGAAGAAUAAUGACGGUACCUAACGAAUAAGCACCGGCUAACUCCGUG